rnacentral:tRNA from 1 species
AGAGAUGUGGCUCAAGAGGUAGAGUGCCUGUCUGGCAAACAUGAGACCCUGAGUUCAAACCCCAGUACUGCAG